CACGAACCGUGCGAACGUUAUUCGGAAUCACUGGGCUUAAAGGGUGCGUAGGCGGCUUUGCAAGUGAGGUGUGAAAUCCCUCAGCUCAACUGAGGAACUGCGCUUCAAACUGCAUAGCUAGAGGGAGACAGAGGUAAGCGGAACUGAUGGUGGAGCGGUGAAAUGCGUUGAUAUCAUCAGGAACACCAGUGGCGAAGGCGGCUUACUGGGUCUCUUCUGACGCUGAGGCACGAAAGCUAGGGUAGCGAAC
rnacentral:rRNA from 1 species